GAAAAAGAAAAAGAAGAAAGAAUAUAUCAGGGAGAAUUGUUUAUUUAUUCCCUUUUUUUUUUUUGUUUCCUUUUUUUGCUCUCUCUUUUU
rnacentral:ribozyme from 1 species